rnacentral:rRNA from 1 species
CUUCGGGGUACUCGAGCGGCGAACGGGUGAGUAACACGUGAGUAAUCUGCCCCAGGCUCUGGGAUAGCCACCGGAAACGGUGAUUAAUACCGGAUACGACAACCGAUUGCAUGAUCUGGUUGUGGAAAGUUUUUCGGCCUGGGAUGUGCUCGCGGCCUAUCAGCUUGUUGGUGAGGUAAUGGCUCACCAAGGCUUCGACGGGUAGCCGGCCUGAGAGGGUGACCGGCCACACUGGGACUGAGACACGGCCCAGACUCCUACGGGAGGCAGCAGUGGGGAAUAUUGGACAAUGGGCGGAAGCCUGAUCCAGCAACGCCGCGUGAGGGAUGACGGCCUUCGGGUUGUAAACCUCUUUCAGCACAGACGAAGCGCAAGUGACGGUAUGUGCAGAAGAAGGACCGGCCAACUACGUGCCAGCAGCCGCGGUAAUACGUAGGGUCCGAGCGUUGUCCGGAAUUAUUGGGCGUAAAGGGCUCGUAGGCGGUCUGUCGCGUCGGGAGUGAAAACCAGGUGCUUAACACCUGGCCUGCUUUCGAUACGGGCAGACUAGAGGUACUCAGGGGAGAAUGGAAUUCCUGGUGUAGCGGUGAAAUGCGCAGAUAUCAGGAGGAACACCGGUGGCGAAGGCGGUUCUCUGGGAGUAUCCUGACGCUGAGGAGCGAAAGUGUGGGGAGCGAACAGGAUUAGAUACCCUGGUAGUCCACACCGUAAACGUUGGGCGCUAGGUGUGGGAUCCAUUCCACGGGUUCCGUGCCGCAGCUAACGCAUUAAGCGCCCCGCC